CCCAGCCGACUUGGCCCUCCCCUCCUGCUCUGUGGCUGAGUGACUCAUUGCGAGCUUACAGAACAGGGCGGUUGGCAGCUGAGCGAAAAUGGAGGAAAACUCAACUUACGGAGGACCGGUCAUCCUUUCACUCCCUCCUCUCUAGCUUCUCUUCCUCUGUAUCCAUUGCCAAAGCCACUUUCUAUCACAAAAUGUCAAGCUUCUGCCUCUAACCCUUGGAUACUAUUUUCCAUCUUCUCCUCUUUCCUUAACCCCCCCCCCCCCUUUCUGCGGACGACAUGGUCAAUCCCUUUGAAAAGGUUGACACGACAUCCGCUCCUCACGAAACCCACACUCGACUCCUCUGACUUAAACUACAGACAGAUUUAUCCGCUGACUUUGACACUGUGGACCACCAGGGCUGGGCGUCUCAGGCUCUUUGAUUGCAUCCUACAUGGCAGGCCGCUCCUAUCAGGUGGCAACAGGCAUCUCUGCGUGCCUGGAAGAUAUCUCAGCUUGGAUGUGGGACACCCACCUCAAUCUCAACAAGAUGGAGCUGCUCUUCCUCUUGGGGAAGCCCUGCCCUCUUCAAGACCUCUCUAUCAUGGUUGACAACUCCACAGUGUCCCCCACCCAGAGUGCAAAGAACCUGGACAACACCCUGUUGUUCACGCAAACAUCAAAGCAGUAAGUCGCUACUGCAGGUUCAUGCUCUACAACACAGGUGUCAAACUCAUUCCACGGAGGGCCGAGUGUCUGCGGGUUUUCGCUCCUCCCUUGUACUUGAUUGAUGAAUUAACAUCACUAAUUAGUUAGGAACUCCCCACACCUGGUUGUCUAGGGCUUUAUUGAAAGGAAAAACCAAAAACCUGCAGACACUAGGCCCUCCGUGGAAUGAGUUUGACGCCCCUGCUCUACAACAUGGGUCGGGGAUGACUCUACUACCUAACACAAGAAGAGGCACAGGUCCUAAUCCAGGCACUUUGAUAUUUAGAUUUAAAAAAAACGGCUGUAUUGGACCUUUAACGUGUGUGUUUGGGGUGUUGGGAAAGGCCGAGGACGAAUUUCCAUUCUGACCUAGUGACAAGGGUGGGUAUAAUUUGUGGAACGUUCCAAAAAACUUCGUAAAUACAAAGUUGUAACGUUCUGGCGGCAGAAUAAGAUACCGGGAAGUGAGUGGGCUAUUGAAUUACGUUUUUCACUCGCCACGUUUAUUCCUAAACAUUUCUGUCCUCACUCUGGACAAACAUUAAGAAUAAUCUACGUGGUGAGUUGAUGCCUAUUCGGCAACUAGUUAGCUAGGUGAAUUGAUCAAGCUACUUUGUAUGUGUUGUUUGUUGGCAACCUGGGAAUUUAGAAGUUUUUGGAACAGAUUCCUGUUGGAACGUUUUACAAAUUAUACCCACCCAAAUACUGGCCUAAAUUGUGACAUCGCUCACACACUAUAAUGCAGACACUUAACGUUACCCGGCGACAACAAAACUCUUGAAAAUCGUGAUGAAAUAUAAAAUAAUAUUACUCCAUUUUUUUGUCAUUAACAUCCAUACAUAGUUCAAGAAAACAAUUAGCGAUGAUGGUGUGUCCCUGAAAACUUCACAUUUAACCUUUGCUUACCAUCUUCCU